GUUCACGUGAUCGCGACAGCUUCACGAAUCGCAGCGGCGCGCGGGCCGCGUGCUCUCGAAUUCCUGCUUGCAGUCGUCGCCUGCCCGCGUCCAGUGACGACGCGUUGCGUUGAUUUUCUCGCGCCAGAUUCGACGUGGCGGUCCCCGUAACACGAGGAGAAACGGGUGUUCGAUGCUAUACCGGUUCUACCGGUCGGCCGUUACAUUGUCGCGUCUCUCCCCGACGAGAGACGCUGCGCUCCCUCUUAAGAAAAAUUACUUUCAGCUAAUUCAUACCUGUCGCGGUUUCAUAUCCAGCGAGGCGAUGCACCGAACAUGAUCCGGCAGCCACACUAUUCUAGAUUGAGCUGAACAUAAUGAUCACCGCACGCUGAUACUUAAUUUAAUGCUGACAGCCGAGUUGGACGUCGAAAUGAGCAAAGCUACCGUUCAGCACUACGAGUUCGCAGAAUUUCGUGAAAAUGAUAAUUACAUUUGCGUUGCAAGAAACCUCAGUCAACGCAUUUAAAACAAAAUAAUUCCAAUAAGCAAAAUGUUAAAAUAAUAAAAUUAAAAAAAAUAAUAAAUAAAUAAAAUGCUAGCAAAAGAAAAACUGAUUACGCGAGGGGUUGGUCACUAGCAGUUAUAGUGUACAAAAAUUACCUUUGAUACGGAUUACCUUUAAAUUACCUCAGAUUCCUUAAGAUUACCUAAUACUACAACAGUUCGAUCAAAUAACUUGGCAAAAGUUUCAAUUUACUGUCAAAAUUCAUCAAUGCCGUAUUUUCCGUAUUGAUUUCAGCUGGUAGUUCCCUCGAUGAUUGUUCAGAAUUUUCCAUUUUGAUCGAUUUCGAUAAUAAAACCAGAAAAAAAUAAUAAACUAGCACAGAGCAAAAGAAUCAAGCACAGAGUAGGCAGCUCGGCGGACAUAUAGACCCGAAAACAUAUGAAAGGUUGCGUUUCCGAUAUUUGGUUGUCUCUCGGCGGUUAGAUGUACUGAAUAUAUAUCGCGCAUGGUAUCACGAUUACCUUAGAUUACCUCAGAUUAUCUGAGACUACCCUAAGAAUUACCUAGCCCUUGUACAAAGAUUACCUCAGUGACCAACCCCUCGUGAUUACGCGUUUUCUAAAUCAUCUAUCUAAGUAGAACAGAAGCUCUGCCGUGGAUCAGUCUUUGUGCACUGUCAACAGAUACUCAUCCAGUUUCUGCUGGCAUUCUGCCCCGAGAGCUGCUGAGCAGACUCCGCAAGAUCGUUCCUGAUAUUUGAGACGUCUCGUCUGAAAGAGAAAACGGCUCGCGGAAAAUAACGUUAUGGAGUCGAUGUAUAGCAUCGGUUUAUUUCUAGUGCAACGCGAGAUAAUAAGCAAAAAUAUCGCAGAAAGCAAUCCAAGUGGCACUCCGUGGCGCCAAUGGAGAGCGUAAUGUGUCGAUUCAUCGAACGAUAGCAUACGACGACGGCACGUGCCGCGCGCGUUAACAUAAUUUCUAAGGCUAUCGUAAUUUUCCACGACGUUGGAAGAAAUGUACGAAGAUAUAGCUGGCCGGGAGCGUGAUCCACAACGCUCGAAACGGGAACGAUCCGUAUUGGUCGUUGGAAUUGGAUUUUUGCGAGUCCUCGUCCGGAGAACGCGCGCACACAUCAGCCGAGCCGAGUGAAGAAAAACAAAACUUGUUUUUCCUUCAAUAAGAUACUGAGGGAUAUCGCGGAAAAAAUGCGUGGAACGAUACCCUUACCCGAUUUAGAAUCUAACGUCCCAAUAACGUGCUAAUAGCACAAAAGUACGCGAAGAAUUCUGCCCUCUGCGCAAUCCUCAUGUGCAGUUAAUAAAAAAAUAACUCUGCACUUGUUGCACGCUGGAAGCACGUGUUGUAUAAUAAUAUUACACGCGGACUUUAUUAUGCAAAUUGAUCCCGGCAUGACAUGCUCAGACAUAUGACGUGGUGUGUUGCAUCGGUCAUAAAUUAUAUUACACGUUCAUUUUCGGUGCUAAUGCCCCGGCGACAGAAGGCACUCCUAUGGUCCAAUACUCUCGAAUACCAUCAGUUUCGUCAUUUUAUUCAAAAUACAAAAACGAUAAAAUUAUUCGCGAUUACUUAAAUGAAAUUUUCAUGUCAAUUUUCAAAAGGAUUCCCAACAAUAUCUUUGCACAGCGUUUUUCUUCGACAUUUUAGUUAAUUGCAAAGUAAUAGCUCAAUAUCUCUCUAUACUAUCGUAGUUUUAUUUACAAAAAUGCUGGAAAAAAUCCGUCGUUAGCAGCAAGAGAAAAGUAAUUUCGGCAGAUAAGUAAUAUGAGCAUGUGUUUGGUAUCUUCUGCUCUCUAAUCCGUAGCAACGUGCAUCAUAUUUGUACGCUUAAGUAAUUUAUCUACACGACACGAUACAAAGCACAUAAAGUAAUCGGAUUUGUCAUUGAAGCGACGUGUAAUGACAUGUGGAAUUUUUCAAUGUGCAUAAGUAUAGCAUCCUGAUAAAUUAAAAGUCUCGUAUCGUCCAAGGAAUUGCGAAAUCGAAAGCGCGAAAUGAUGUAACAGAAUGCACGGAUGAUAGCUCGUAAAAUAGAAGAAUGACGGUAAAGAAUAACGUGGACAACGGUGGCGGGGAUACCGCAGAAACACAAUCUCCUUGAGGAUUAAACUGUUUACGAAGUUGCUUUUAUAAAUUGCAUCUCUCGCGAUGUAGCUGCAACACGCGCAUAACGUCACUUAGUUUUUAAUGAGUUUUAUUGGGUGAUACGUAGCACGCACGUGUGUGUGUGUGCGCGAAUAUCGCCGUGUUUAUGCCAUUAAUUAAAACCAACUUUUUACGAUUCGCAAACGAAGAGAGAUCCGGAAAUAUCGAUAUUCAUUCGAAACUAUUUUAAAGAGAGAGCAAUUGAAAUGGAGAUUAUUGUACGUGUGUAAAGCUGCUUGCAUAGAGAUAACGUGUGACGCUAAAUAGCCACGUGUGUGCGGACACUUGUACGCAAUAAAAAAUUAACAAAAAAUAUUAUAAUGUACCUUUUUAUUUCUUAUAUUAAUAAAAUUCAGAUCUAUACACAUUCAAGAUUAGUUUCUACUUUAAUCUGCUCCUUCCUCUUGUGUAUACCUUCGUGAUUUGGUCUUGAAAAUCUUGUAAGGAGAAAUCUAUCCUAAUUUCGAGAAUUUGUUCCUAAAAUAUCACGUCCAUAAAAGAUAAAACACUAUAAAAAUAUUUUUAUAUAUUUUAUCUGGUCUCUCGUGGAGGGGGGCAAAUAUAUAA
rnacentral:lncRNA from 1 species